AUUUAAAUAAGCAUAAUGAAUAAUGUAUAGGAAGUUUACAGAUAACAUUUAUCGCUCAAUGAAUCACGCUUCGUACAAAACAGAGUUGCUAUGGUCCACUGCUAAGACAUCCUUAAUAUGCCCACAUUUCAAUACUAAGACCAAAAAACAUUAAUUCACUGAAUUGUAACAUUGUGCAGUUCUUGAAUGUUAUCUGGAUUAUGUCACAACAAUAAAACAUGACUAAAUGUCUUCCUCCCUGAGAAGUCAAUUUUACUAAGAGAUAAAAU